rfam:Mesocricetus auratus contig175242, whole genome shotgun sequence.
GGGGAGAUAGCUCAGCUGUUAAGAGCACUGACUGCUGAUCCAGAAGACCUGGGUUCAAUUCCCAGCACCA